rnacentral:lncRNA from 1 species
GAGCAUAGUUUGUGAUUUUGAGGGCCUCUAAAAGUAUUAAAGCAGCGGCAGCCGCUGCACGCAGACACGAGGGGUAGGCUAAAACAGUAAGGUCAAGUUGUUUGCACAGAAAGGCUACAGGGUGCGGUCCUGGCUCUUGUGUAAGAAUUCUGACUGCACUAACUAUGCCUAGGAAGGAAAGGAGUUGUUGUUUUGUAAGAGAUUGAGGUUUGGGAGAUUAAUAGGACACGAUCAGCAGGGAAAGCACGUAUGUUUUUAUGAGAAUUAUGCCGAGAUAGGUAACAGAUGAGGAUGAAAUUUGGGCUUGACUGAAGUAAUGGGGGCUGUCUAUGAAGCCUUGUGGCAGUACAGCCUAGGUAAUUUGCUGAGCCUAAUAGGUGUCAGGGUCAGUCCAAGUGAAAGAAAAGAGAGGCUGGGACGAGGGGUGCAGGGGAAUAGUGAAAAAAGCAUCUUUAAGAUCAAGCACGGAAUAGUGAGUGGUGGAGGAAGGUAUUGAGGAUAGGAGAGUAUAUGGGUUGGGCACCACAGGGGGGAUAGGCAAAACAAUUUGGUUGAUAAGGCACAGAUCCUGAACUAACUUGUAAGGCUUGUCUGGUUUUAGGACAGGUAAAAUGGGGGAAUUGUAAGGAGAGUUUAUAGGCUUUAAAAGGCCAUGCUGUAGCAGGCGAGUGAUAACAGGUUUAAUCUUUUUAAAGCGUGCUGUGGGAUGGGAUAUUGGCAUUGAGUGGGGUAAGGGUGAUUAGGUUUUAAUGAGAUGGUAAGGGGUGCAUGAUUGGUAGCCAAGGAGGGAGUAGAGGUAUCUUAUACUUGUGGGUUAAGGUGGGGGGAUACAAGAGGAGGACGCAAAGGAGGCUUUGAAUUGGGAAGAAGGGUGGCAAUGAGAUACAGCUGUAGUCCAGGAAUAGUCAGGGAAGCAGAUAAUUUAGUUAAAGUGUCUCAGCCUAAUAAGGGAACUGGGCAGGUGGGGAUAAUGAAAAAGGAGUGCUUAAAAGAGUAUUGUCUAAGUUGGCACCAGAGUUGGGGAGUUUUAGGAGGUUUAGAAGCCUGGCCGUCAAUACCCACAACAGUUAUGGAGGCAAGGGAAACAGGUCCUUGAAAAGAAGAUAAUGUGGAGUGGGUAGCCUCCGUAUUGAUUAAGAAGGGGACGGGCUUACCUUCCACCGUGAGAGUUACCUGAAGCUCGGCGUCCGUGAUGGUCUAGGGGGCUUCCAAGGUGAUUGGGCAGUGUCAUCUUCAGCCGCUAAGCCGAGAAGAUCUGGGAAGGAGUCAGUCAGCCUUGGGCCAGAGUUCCAGGGGUUCUGGGAGUGGCUGUCAGGUAGAAGAGAGAAAGGGAAAACACAAAGACCAAGCUGGGAGACCAAACACUGUCAAGGUGGCAUUUUGCCAACAUGCCACAAAAGCAAGCACAGAGAGACGCCAGAGAGUGAGCAGUUGGCUGGAGUGGAGAAAACACCAGGAAAUGGAAGGAAAAUGAAUGCAGUGUACCAAGUGGCCUCCUUCAUUGCCUGCAUUUUGAAUGCAGUCAGGCUGCACAGUGGAAUGGAAAUCCCUGGCCAAGAUAUACCUCUUAAAAGAAAAUAAUCUCUUCCUCUGUGUGUAUGCCUGCGUCUACAUAUGUAUUGUGGGGACCAGAAUAUACCACCCCAAAAUAUAAAUGACUGUUGAACUGAAGGCAAUUAAGAAGAAGUAGGUACAGGAAAGAGCUCUCCUCUCCCUUUAUUUGCCUAAAAGUAGGACACAGGCUUAUAAGGACAAAAGGAAUCCUGCCCUGCCUUCUUCUCCUAUGGGAGAACAAAGGUUAACCACGGAAGACAACCUUGGGCACUGAUGACCCUGGAGAUGAUACCAGAGGCAUCUCCACGAGCAAGCUUCCCUAACUCGCCUUUAUUUACCAUUAUGUGUCUUCCUGCAAGCUGCUGCCCUGGAGAACCCAAGUCCUUUUCUUUGUCUUGUUACUUCCUUAAAAAUGUACUGUUCUUUGUUAAAAAUGCUAUACAAGCCAGAAUUCAAAGCCAUCCCUUUGAGGACUACUCAUUCCCUUGGCGUCUUUCAUGUACCUAUGAAAUAUACACAUUAAUAAACUUCCAUUUGUUUUUCUCUCAUUAAUCUGUCUU